UCGGCUUAGAGUUUGAUCAUGGCUCAGAUUGAACGCUGGCGGCAGGCUUAACACAUGCAAGUCGAACGGUAUGAGUGCUUGCACUUGACGAGUGGCGGACGGGUGAGUAAUGUAUGGGGAUCUGCCGAAUGGAGGGGGACAACAGUUGGAAACGACUGCUAAUACCGCAUAAUGUCGCGAGACCAAAGCGUUUCGACGUACCAUUUGAUGAACCCAUAUGGGAUUAGCUAGUAGGUAGGGUAAAGGCCUACCUAGGCGACGAUCUCUAGCUGGUCUGAGAGGAUGACCAGCCACACUGGAACUGAGACACGGUCCAGACUCCUACGGGAGGCAGCAGUGGGGAAUAUUGCACAAUGGGGGAAACCCUGAUGCAGCCAUGCCGCGUGUAUGAAGAAGGCCUUAGGGUUGUAAAGUACUUUCGGUAAUGAGGAAGGUGACUAUUAACAUAGUUAAUUGACGUUAAUUACAGAAGAAGCACCGGCUAACUCCGUGCCAGCAGCCGCGGUAAUACGGAGGGUGCGAGCGUUAAUCGGAAUGACUGGGCG
rnacentral:rRNA from 1 species